rnacentral:lncRNA from 1 species
UUUUGGCGGAGAACAAAAAUGCAAAUGAAAGUCUUGCUUUCAAAUAAUCCUAGGCAAUAAAUCCUUGAUAACAGAAGUCAAAAGAAGUGUCUCACGUUCAUUCUCAAUGUUCAAAAGUAGAACGCUAAGCUCAUCCGGAAAGAAAAGGCUUCCAACGAAAUUUUGCAAACAAUUCCAACGAGAAUUGUUAGAACAGUAGCAACGUAAAAAUUUUACGGUUCUGAAGGAGUACGGUAAAAUCUUUUCCGAGAUAUUAUACGGAUUUUUUUCCUACUCCAGGUAUGUUAAGGCUAAGCUCUUCUUUCAUUUGGCAUGAUCUCAUAUUUACAUUCAUAUCCCGGAAUUUACGUAUAUUUUGCUAGUCUCACAAAUUGUGUAUAUUUUUCUAGUGUUGUAAGUUAUAAUAUUCUCCUUAUUGGGACUUCAUAUUCAGUUGAGUAUUUCCUUCUUACAGCCAAGAGAGCAGAGGAGUUUAUAUAUAUAUAGUAUUAAAAGUAUUUUCAUUACCAUCGAGCUAUAAUCGAUGGGCAGGCCCCUAUUGGGCAACCUCUGAUCAGAUGGUAAGUUAUAUACCGAGCCUACUGUGGCCGAGCGCUUAUGAGUAAGCCCAGUUGGCCGAGCCUACUGUGGCCGAGCGCUUAUGAGUAAGCCCAGUUGGUCGAGAUACAGAUCCUAGUAUGGCCGAACACGUAUGAGCGAGCCUACUAUGGCAGAGUAGAUAUAUAUGUAUACCGAGCCUUAUAGGGUCGGACAACUAUUUACUUCUAUAUUGAGAGAAUUGAGUCAAUAUCAGCAGGUAAGCAUAUCUUCAGAUUAUCUUUGGCUUCCAUCUACUUGCAGUUAUUAUAUUAUCAGUUCAGUUUCAGCUUUCAGUAUAUUGCCUUACAUACUCAGUACAUUAUUUCGUACUGACCUCCCUUUUCUGGGGGCGCUGCAUUUCAUGCGUGCAGGUCAAACAGACAGACGAGUAGGCCUCUUCAACAAGUAUUGCCCGAGCUCAGCUUGAUCGGUAAACUCCAUGCCUUUCGUAGUUUCCGGGUCUAGAGCCUUAUGUAUAUCUUGUAUAUAUACGUUGAUAAGUCAUGAGUAGGUCGGAUAGCCGUUCUGAUCAUAAUAUAUCCAUUAGUAAAGGCUUGUAGACAUAUCUUGUUAGCUAGUGUAGUAUGUUGGGCUUUCAGGCCUUGUGUGUAUAUUUGGUUGGUUUGUCAGUUGUAAUAAAUAUGAUGGCCUUGUUGGCCAAGCUUUAUAUU